rnacentral:tRNA from 1 species
AUUUAAGUAGUCUAAAUAAAGAUAUCAUGUUGAAGCUAUGAAGAUGACCAAGGUCCUUGAAUA